rnacentral:tRNA from 1 species
GCAUUGGUGGUUCGGUGGCAGAAUUCUUGCCUCCCACACGAAAGACCCGGGUUCGAUUCCUGGCCAAUGCA